rnacentral:rRNA from 1 species
AACCCUUAUCCUUUGUUGCCAGCGGUUAGGCCGGGAACUCAAAGGAGACUGCCAGUGAUAAACUGGAGGAAGGUGGGGAUGACGUCAAGUCAUCAUGGCCCUUACGACCAGGGCUACACACGUGCUACAAUGGCAUAUACAAAGAGAAGCGACCUCGCGAGAGCAAGCGGACCUCAUAAAGUAUGUCGUAGUCCGGAUUGGAGUCUGCAACUCGACUCCAUGAAGUCGGAAUCGCUAGUAAUCGUAGAUCAGAAUGCUACGGUGAAUACGUUCCCGGGCCUUGUACACACCGCCCGU